UACAAAUGAAGAAAAUACAUUGCAGGUGAUG
rnacentral:piRNA from 1 species